GAUGAACGCUAGCGGCAGGCCUAACACAUGCAAGUCGAGGGAGGAGCCUUCGGGCUUCGACCGGCGUACGGGUGCGUAACGCGUAUACAAUCUGCCUUUCACAUAGGGAUAGCCCGAAGAAAUUUGGAUUAAUACCUAAUGGUAUAUAGAUGUGGCAUCACCUUUAUAUUAAAGCUGAGGCGGUGAAAGAUGAGUAUGCGUUCUAUUAGCUAGUUGGAGAGGUAACGGCUCCCCAAGGCGACGAUAGAUAGGGGUUCUGAGAGGGAUAUCCCCCACACUGGUACUGAGAUACGGACCAGACUCCUACGGGAGGCAGCAGUGAGGAAUAUUGACAAUGGUCGGAAGACUGAUCCAGCCAUGCCGAGUGCAGGAAGACGGCCUUAUGGGUUGUAAACUGCUUUUGCAGGGGAAGAAUAAGGACUACGCGUAGUUUGAUGACGGUACUCUGCGAAUAAGCAUCGGCUAACUCCGUG
rnacentral:rRNA from 1 species